CAAUAGCGUAUAUUUAAGUUGUUGCAGUUAAAAAGCUCGUAGUUGGAUUUCGGUUAAGAGCGACCGGUCCGCCGUUUGGUGUGCACUGGUUGGUUUUAACUUCCUGUAGAGGACGUGCUCUGGGUUUAACGACCUGGACUCGGAGUCUACGUGGUUACUUUGAAAAAAUUAGAGUGUUCAAAGCGGGCUUACGCUUGAAUAUUUCAGCAUGGAAUAACACUAUAGGACUCCUGUCCUAUUUCGUUGGUCUCGGGACGGGAGUAAUGAUUAAGAGGAACAGUUGGGGGCAUUCGUAUUUCAUUGUCAGAGGUGAAAUUCUUGGAUUUAUGAAAGACGAACUUCUGCGAAAGCAUUUGCCAAGGAUGUUUNCAUUAA
rnacentral:rRNA from 1 species